rnacentral:rRNA from 1 species
GAUGAACGCUAGCUACAGGCUUAACACAUGCAAGUCGAGGGGCAGCAUGAUUGAAGCUUGCUUCAAUUGAUGGCGACCGGCGCACGGGUGAGUAACACGUAUCCAACCUUCCGUACACUCAGGGAUAGCCUUUCGAAAGAAAGAUUAAUACCUGAUGGUAUCUUAAGCACACAUGUAAUUAAGAUUAAAGAUUUAUCGGUGUACGAUGGGGAUGCGUUCCAUUAGGUAGUAGGCGGGGUAACGGCCCACCUAGCCUACGAUGGAUAGGGGUUCUGAGAGGAAGGUCCCCCACAUUGGAACUGAGACACGGUCCAAACUCCUACGGGAGGCAGCAGUGAGGAAUAUUGGUCAAUGGGGGGAAACCCUGAUGCAGCGACGCCGCGUGAAGGAAGAAGUAUUUCGGUAUGUAAACUUCUAUCAGCAAGGAAGAAAAUGACGGUACUUGACUAAGAAGCCCGGCUAAAUACGUG